CAUUCCACCACUCGAUUAAAAAACCACCAGCUGAAUCGAUAGGCAAAAUAGGAGGUGGCGGCGGAGCAGAAGAAGAAGAAAAGGAAUCUAAAUUACCGUUAUUUACAUUCAUGUUUUCAUCCGAAGAUUCAUUAUUACUUAUACCUUCAUGCUUUACAGCAACAGGAGACAUUCUUUUGUGACGCUUAGCUAAGGAAUUGGUUUCUUCUUGACUUCUGACGAGCGUUUGUACUUGUGCUUCACGGCCAAAAGCUCGGGCUGCCUCACAAUAAUCCUUCUUGAUUAAAUAAUCAUAUAUGUACGAAUUCAGUAAGGAUUGUGUGGUCCUAUCGGCAUUAUUUACGUGCGGUUGUUUUUGAUCUUUUUGUAAAUCAUGUUUCUGUCCUUGCUGGCUUGGCAAUCCGACGCCGGACCUUAAACCUGGAUCAGCCAUAAACUAGAAAUGUGCAGAAGUUAGG